AAGCCUGACGGACAAGACCGCGUGCGGGAUGACGGCCUAAUGGUUGUAAACCGCUUUUCUCUGGGAAGAUAAUGACGGUACCAGAGGAAUCAGCCUCGGCUAACUCCGUGCCAGCAGCCGCGGUAAUACGGAGGAGGCAAGCGUUAUCCGGAAUUAUUGGGCGUAAAGCGUCCGUAGGUGGUUAUUCAAGUCUGCUGUCAAAGCGUGGGGCUUAACUCCAUAGAGGCAGUGGAAACUGGAUGACUAGAGUGCGGUAGGGGUCGAGGGAAUUCCCAGUGUAGCGGUGAAAUGCGUAGAUAUUGGGAAGAACACCAGUGGCGAAAGCGCUCGACUGGGCCUGCACUGACACUGAGGGACGAAAGCUAGGGGAGCGAAAGGGAUUAGAUACCCCUG
rnacentral:rRNA from 1 species